AUGGUGCCACGAAAGGGGGUUGGAACCAAAAAGGGGAAACAGCCUGCCAAGAGGAGGCAGGUAACCCAGGUGUCACCUCCACAAUCCUCUUCUGAUGAGGAAUCAUGGCCGGUCUGGCAGAAGUUACAGAAUAAAAUCGCGACCUUAGAGGCUCAAACGCUAGGCAAACAGCCCUCUCAACCAGGCAAGGGACAGCAGCGCAGAUCAGCCAGGGAAUCUAAAAGCCAUAGGCGAGCUAGGUUAAGGGUCGUGGCACGCAAGUUAACGCAGAGAUGUGCUUCUCUUGAGUCCGCACAGAGUAUGGAUGCUUCAGCGAGGCGUGAUCAGGAUGGGGCAACUGUUGCUGCAAAAAGGCGCCGGACUAAGGAACAACAGCCACUGCCCCUGGAGGAUUUGGAGCUGGCAUAUGUAAGCCAGGAUGAACAGGACGAGAUGGAGGAGGCCGAUGGCAGUGCUCUGCAGCAUCCCAAGGACCUGGGCAGAGCAUCUACGUCCUACGGUGAGUCUGCAACCAGGUCAGUCACCCAAGCGCCUCCGGCGGCAUGGCCCUGGGCCGCGGGUGCGCCAGGGGGUUACGCGGCCAGCACACCCUACACCGCUACGAGCAUGGGGUUACCUAAUGUCUCAUGGCCUUAUGUUGCUCCACAUUUCAGUGGCUGGGGUGGUCCUUAUGUUACCCCUCCCACACAGACUCAGCCUGACAAUACAUCCGGCUCAGGGUCCUGGCCGUAUCCGGCAGUACCCAAUACAGGCUAUAACACCGUGCCUAUUGGGGCGCUUCCUUAUGGGGACUACUCGACUCCCUUGGGAGAUCAUUUGAGCCCAGCAACCAAGCAGAAAAUUUGGAAAGGAAAGUACAUUGAUGUGUUUGAAUUACUUAAUAGGGAGGUGGAGAAGAAGGAUUUGGAUGGGGAGGAUGAGAAGGAUAAAGAGAGGCGAAGGAGGAAAAAGCCAGAGAGGAUAUGGGCAAAUUGGCUCCCUGGAUUCUUAAUUUAUGUGGGAGUCAUUGUGAAAGCGCAGCCUUGGAGGGCGCAAGCCCUUUUCCAGUAUUUGGAUAUCAUUUACAGGGCCUAUACAGAUUUUGCUGGACAGGCUUGGUUGCAGUAUGACCAAGCCUUUCGUAUGAGAAGCGCCAUCCAGCCAAAUCUACGCUGGGAUGAACCGCAGCCGGGGCUCUGGCUGCAACACAUGGCGCCUUCUAGGCCCAACACAGGAGAGCUGUUCGAUAGUGGACAUCUUAAUAGGAAACCGUUAGCUCCACAAGCUACCUGCACGGGCGCGGGGCAGGGGGUUCAACCCCGCCUGCCUUGCUUUCCAUUUAAUGCCAGGGGCUUCUGUAACAAGAAGCCUUGCAAGUUUAGGCAUGAAUGCCUCACCUAUGGGGAACAGCAUGCAAAUUCCUCUUGUUUUUGGGCAGGGGCCCAGAGACACAGCAAGAACACGGGAGGUCCCAAGAAACCUAACAAUGGCGGCGGCACCUCUGGAAAAGGGGCCCAGCCCAAUUAG
rnacentral:lncRNA from 1 species